CGGACAGAAUGGCAUAUUCAGGAUGAGCCAUUAUGAUCUGUCGGUUCAGGAAUACAGAGCAUUUUAUAAUACUGGAGAUUCCAAGAGUGCUCUUGAAGCUAUUGGAGCCAACGCGUGACAGCCAGAGGAAAAAGAGGAGUGGACAACGGAUUGGAGAUGUCAAGGCAGGCAUGUACAGCGAGGAGAAACAUCUGCUGAUGCUAUUGAAGAAUUGAUGGAAAGAGGAAACAAGGCUGGGCACAGACAGAUCUCCACAGUGGAGCUACAUUGGCUGAGUUUGCUGCCAAAGCGUUACAAACAAAAGGUGGAAAAGGGGAGGUGGGUAAUCCAUUAGCAUGUUCUUUGCAUUUAUCAUCUAACACGAUAGCUGGUAGAGUCUGAAUUCCU
rnacentral:lncRNA from 1 species